ensembl:snRNA U5 U5 spliceosomal RNA
AUACUCUGGUUUCUCUUCAAAUCGUAUAAAUCUUUCGCCUUUUACUAAAGAUUUCCGUGGAGAGGAACAAAUCUGAGUUAGUAACUAAUUUUUUGAGGCCUUGCUUUUGCAAGGCU